UCAGGACGAACGCUGGCGGCGUGCUUAACACAUGCAAGUCGAACGGAAAGGCCCUGCUUUGUGGGGUGCUCGAGUGGCGAACGGGUGAGUAACACGUGAGUAACCUGCCCUUGACUUUGGGAUAACUUCAGGAAACUGGGGCUAAUACCGGAUAGGAGCUCCUGCUGCAUGGUGGGGGUUGGAAAGUUUCGGCGGUUGGGGAUGGACUCGCGGCUUAUCAGCUUGUUGGUGGGGUAGUGGCUUACCAAGGCUUUGACGGGUAGCCGGCCUGAGAGGGUGACCGGCCACAUUGGGACUGAGAUACGGCCCAGACUCCUACGGGAGGCAGCAGUGGGGAAUAUUGCACAAUGGGCGGAAGCCUGAUGCAGCCAACGCCGCGUGCGGGAUGACGGCCUUCGGGUUGUAAACCGCUUUCGCCUGUGACGAAGCGUGAGUGACGGUAAUGGGUAAAGAAGCACCGGCUAACUACGUGCCAGCAGCAGC
rnacentral:rRNA from 1 species